UGGGGAAUAUUGCACAAUGGGCGCAAGCCUGAUGCAGCCAUGCCGCGUGUAUGAAGAAGGCCUUCGGGUUGUAAAGUACUUUCAGCGGGGAGGAAGGCGAUAAGGUUAAUAACCUUGUCGAUUGACGUUACCCGCAGAAGAAGCACCGGCUAACUCCGUGCCAGCAGCCGCGGAAAUACGGAGGGGGCAAGCGUUAAUCGGAAUUACUGGGCGUAAAGCGCACGCAGGCGGUCUGUCAAGUCGGAUGUGAAAUCCCCGGGCUCAACCUGGGAACUGCAUUCGAAACUGGCAGGCUAGAGUCUUGUAGAGGGGGGUAGAAUUCCAGGUGUAGCGGUGAAAUGCGUAGAGAUCUGGAGGAAUACCGGUGGCGAAGGCGGCCCCCUGGACAAAGACUGACGCUCAGGUGCGAAAGCGUGGGGAGCAAACA
rnacentral:rRNA from 1 species